rnacentral:rRNA from 2 species
CGAAGAACCUUACCUGGUCUUGACAUCCACAGAAGAAUCCAGAGAUGGAUUUGUGCCUUCGGGAACUGUGAGACAGGUGCUGCAUGGCUGUCGUCAGCUCGUGUUGUGAAAUGUUGGGUUAAGUCCCGCAACGAGCGCAACCCUUAUCCUUUGUUGCCAGCGAUUAGGUCGGGAACUCAAAGGAGACUGCCAGUGAUAAACUGGAGGAAGGUGGGGAUGACGUCAAGUCAUCAUGGCCCUUACGACCAGGGCUACACACGUGCUACAAUGGCGCAUACAAAGAGAAGCGACCUCGCGAGAGCAAGCGGACCUCAUAAAGUGCGUCGUAGUCCGGAUUGGAGUCUGCAACUCGACUCCAUGAAGUCGGAAUCGCUAGUAAUCGUGGAUCAGAAUGCCACGGUGAAUACGUUCCCGGGCCUUGUACACACCGCCCGUCACACCAUGGGAGUGGGUUGCAAAAGAAGUAGGUAGCUUAACCUUCGGGAGGGCGCUUACCACUUUGUGAUUCAUGACUGGGGUGAAGUCGUAACAAGGUAACCGUAGGGGAACCUGCGGUUGGA